CCUACGGGUGGCAGCAGUAGGGAAUAUUGCCCAAUGGGGGAAACCCUGAUGCAGCGACGCCGCGUGGGUGAGGAAGGAUUUCGGUAUGUAAAGCUCUAUCGGCAGGGAAGAAAAUGACGGUACCUGACUAAUAAGCCCCGGCUAACUACGUGCCAGCAGCCGCGGUAAUACGUAGGGUGCAAGCGUUAUCCGGAUUUACUGGGUGUAAAGAGAGCGUAGACGGAAUUGCAAGUCUGAUGUGAAAAUCCGGGGCCCAACCCCGGAACUGCAUUUGAAACUGUAAUUCUAGAGUGUCGGAGAGGCAAGUGGAAUUCCUGGUGUAGCGGUGAAAUGCGUAGAGAUCAGGAGGAACAC
rnacentral:rRNA from 1 species